AGUGAGCGCUGGCGGUAGGCCUAACACAUGCAAGUCGAACGGCAGCACAGGAGAGCUUGCUCUCUGGGUGGCGAGUGGCGGACGGGUGAGGAAUACAUCGGAAUCUACUCUGUCGUGGGGGAUAACGUAGGGAAACUUACGCUAAUACCGCAUACGACCUACGGGUGAAAGCAGGGGAUCUUCGGACCUUGCGCGAUUGAAUGAGCCGAUGUCGGAUUAGCUAGUUGGCGGGGUAAAGGCCCACCAAGGCGACGAUCCGUAGCUGGGCUGAGAGGAUGAGCAGCCACACUGGAACUGAGACACGGUCCAGACUCCUACGGGAGGGAGCAGUGGGGAAUAUUGGACAAUGGGCGCAAGCCUGAUCCAGCCAUACCGCGUGGGUGAAGAAGGCCUUCGGGUUGUAAAGCCCUUUUGUUGGGAAAGAAAUCCAGCUGGCUAAUACCCGGUUGGGAUGACGGUACCCAAAGAAUAAGCACCGGCUAACUUCGUGCCAGCCGCCGCCGUAA
rnacentral:rRNA from 1 species